UACGAAAGGGGCUAGCGUUGCUCGGAAUGACUGGGCGUAAAGGGCGCGUAGGCGGCUCAUACAGUCAGAUGUGAAAUUCCUGGGCUUAACCUGGGGGCUGCAUUUGAUACGUGUGGGCUUGAGUGGGGAAGAGGGUCGUGGAAUUCCCAGUGUAGAGGUGAAAUUCGUAGAUAUUGGGAAGAACACCGGUGGCGAAGGCGGCGACCUGGUCCUUGACUGACGCUGAGGCGCGAAAGCGUGGGGAGCAAACAGG
rnacentral:rRNA from 1 species